ACAUCUUUGUGGUCAAAGGCAUCUAGCAGACUGAUGGGAUAGCAUUAACAAAUAUCCACUUCCACUUCUGGUCAUUAAGAAGUAAUGAAGCUGAGAAACUCUCACCGUUGGCUGAAAAGCUUUUCAUCUUAUGUUGGAAAAGUUCUUUCUUCUGUCAGUGGAAUAUGAUUGGGGGGGACAUGCACAGUCUCAUUUCCUUCAAGAUGCAUAGAACAAAUUGAAAGAGGACCAAUGGGAUUGAUUGGUUAACUCAUGUAAUCUCCAUGGAUGGCAUAAGCUUGUUCGAAGCUGGUGAUUCUUCCCAACUUCGAGAGUGAAAUUGAUCUGACCACGUAGGAGAGGUGAAAUAAUUCUUGCGGAUUAAUAUUUUGGAUUUUGACUUGCUGACCUUAUGCUCAUCUCAAGAAUAGUAUUGUGUUUGGUUCUUUCAUGAGAAUCGGAUGGAUUCAAAACAUGUCUGUAUUCUGUGGAACUGCAAGAUAAAUUCUUUGAAACCCUUUGUGUAGAGGAUUUCACCCUAAUCCCACAUCGAAUUAUCAUCUUUGAUUCUGUCUUAGGAAUUGCAAUCAAAUAGAAAGAGGACAUAAUCAAUCGAAGCUUGGAAGUUGGAAUUCAAUUACUUGAAUUGCUCUUUUGUUCUAUUCCAUACCAAUUUUGACCAAAUUAUGUGCACACGGAAAUAUUCAAGUGGCCGAAGUCUGCUAACUGCUAGGCAUGGUUUGGUAUUGGUAUGAACACGGGAUUGGCUGUUGCAGCUGCAAAUUGCAGAGAGCAAUCAAAUGGCAAAGAAAUAUUCAAGUGGGCAAACUUUGGUGGGCGUUGCCUUGUCUAGUCUGGCAUGCCUCUGCAACAAGACGGAAUAGUUUAGACCAAAAAAGCUUUGGCCGUGGAUUUUAAAUUGCAACAUUUUUUUCUUCAAGAAUAUGCUUUUACAGCUUGAAUUGUCAGCCCAUCAGCACAGCUCAAUCUGAGGUGCCUAACUUAGCUAGUUGAUUGUGUAUUUCAAUUUUUGUUUUCAAGAAAAGUUGUUAACUUUGCAAAGUUCC